AUGCCAAUAUCUGAUCCUUACAGUAACUGGGAUCCAGCCAGAGGUAAAGAUUCCUAGAAAAAUUGUCUCUGUCUAGACCAAGCCCAUUCAACCCACAGCCCACAGGCCAGGAUGGCUUUGAAUGUGACCCAACGCAAAUUCAUAAACCUUCUUAAAACAUGAGAUUUUGUUUCUGUGAUUUUUUUUUAACUCAUCAGCUAUCAUUAGUGUUAAUAUAUUUUAUGUGUGACCCAAGACAAUUCUUCUUCCAACGUGGCCCAGGGAAGCCAAAAGAGUGGACACCCCUGCUCUAGACCAUCAUCAGUCCUUCCUGGCCAGUGUCCUGUCUGCAGAGUAAAGGUUUGUAGGCUUCUCAGCAAGCGUCAAAGAUACUAGUUUUCUUUAAAUUUCCGUGAAAUAAAAUAAAUGUCUUGGGUUUCAAAAAUUGUACAAUUGGGAACAUCUUUGAAUGUUUUUUUUUAAGAGACAGCAUCUCAUUCUUGUCACCCAGACUGGAGUGCACUGGUGUAAUCAUUGCUCACUGGAGCCUCAAGCUCCUGGGCUCAAGCAAUCCUCCUGCCUCUGCCUCCCAUGUAACUGAGACUACAGGUGUGCACCAGCCUGCCCAGCUAAUUUUUAAAACAUUUUUUAGAGAUGGGGUCUUGCUGUGUUACACAGGCUGUUCUUGAACUCCUGGCCUCAAGUGAUCCUCCUGCCUUUGCCUCCCAAAGCCCUGGGAUUACAGGCCUGAGCCACUGUGCCUGGCCAGGACUUUUUUUUUUUUAACUGUGUGUGUCAGGUUGUCUUGAACACCAUGGCGACUCCCUCAGACUUUUUCGUGUCUUAUUCCUUGGUAAGAAGGAGCUUUCUAGCUCUGAGACUAGGCAAUUAGGACGGUUCUCUGAGGCAUUGUCUGUACACAGAGUGUCAGUCAGGUGCCAUAUGUAGAGAGUCGUUGAAUAAUUCAGCCGGCUAAUGUCCAAGACGUCAGUACUUCGCUCCUUUCUUCCCGUUUUGUGAGACGGUCCCGGUGGACUGUAUAACCACUAUCCAACUUCGCUUCCAGGUUUUAUUUGCACCAAAGUAUGGAGCACUUUCCCCCCUUGCCUGCAUUCUGAUGUAUUUGUUUUCAUUUUGUUUUAGAGAGCUUUGCUUCCCAAGUUUCUCCUUCGAGGACAUCUCAACUCAACAAACUGUGUCAUCACACAGCCGCUAACGGGAGAGCUGGUGGUGGAGAGCUCGGAAGCCGCCAUCAGAAGCGUGGAGCUGCAGCUGGUGCGCGUGGAGACAUGCGGGUGUGCAGAAGGCUACGCCCGCGACGCCACGGAGAUUCAGAACAUUCAGAUCGCCGACGGGGAUGUGUGCAGGGGCCUCUCUGUCCCCAUCUACAUGGUCUUCCCUAGGCUGUUCACCUGCCCUACACUGGAGACCACCAACUUCAAAGUGGGUAAGUGGCACUCGCCUCCAGCCCUCAUGGGCCCAUGGGAAGGGCCGCUCAGCGCCAGGGCCUGCUGUGGGUCACAUAGCUCAGAGCCUGCCGCCCUUCGGUCCCUCAGUGCCAGGGCCUGCCACAGGCCAUACAGCUCAGAGCCUGCUGCCCUUCGGCUGCUCAACAAAACCUUGUUAAGGAGCUGCUGUGCCGCACAAGGGACACACCCACAGGCAGUCCUGGUGCUUGUGGGACUUCCACUGUCACAUGGGGAAACACACAGACCCACAUCAGUGUAGACAUGGGCAGGUGACGCUGAGCUCUGUGUAGACAUGGGCAGGUGACGCUGAGCUCCGUGUAGACAUGGGCAGGUGCCGCUGAGCUCCGUGUAGACAUGGGCAGGUGACGCUGAGCUCCGUGUAGACAUGGGCAGGUGACACUGAGCUCCGUGUAGACAUGGGCAGGUGAGGCUGAGCUCCGUGAAGAAAACUCCCGUGAGUGAGCACCACAGGAGUGGGGGGUGGUGUGGAUACUGAGAAAGUGGCUCUGUGUGAAGGUCCAGGACCCGUGAAAACCCCAGAGUGAGCGCUCAGCAGCAGGAAGGCCUUGAGCCCUGCGGCCUAGAUGCCUCUAGUGAGUUUCCAUGAACCUGUGUGUUCAUAUUUUAACCAUGGGAUCUGAAUCAGGUCACAGACACCCUUUUAUAUUCUGCCUUUUUCCCUUAACAUUGUAUCAUGAACAUUUCCAUGUUUUUAACUCUUCCUAUAAAUAUUGUAAUGGGACCUCCAUCUUAAUAAGAAUCAUGUUAAUUGGGAGAUCACUCCACACUAUGAAGAAGUAGAACAGAGAGACCCAGUAGGAAGGGACUGAGCCUUCUCAGUAGCAGGGGACCGUGAUUCAGAGAGGCUCGGGGACCUCUAGGUUGGAAGUCAGGAGUGAGCACUGCAUCCACAUCAAGAGCAGCACCUCUGUGUGUUCCCCUCCAAUUCUGUGCAAGUGACCUCAAAUGCACGGUCAGGCCCGAGACUGGAACUCACUCGGACUCUAAGCAGCGCCUGGGUAUCAUGGCGGCUCCAGUGCAGCUGUUUUCCUGCUGUAAAGGAAAGCCCCCGCCAGCUCCCUAUCUUGCCUGCUGGGCAUCCCUCUCUGUCCACUCCAGCCACACCCUCCACCCUUCUGGGGGGCAUAAGAGGGGUGGAGAACCCAUUGAAGGGAGUGGUGGCAGAGGGCUCUAAUGUAGUGACAAUAAAGUGAGGAAGGACAGGCCGGCCACUGCUGGUGGCCGACUCUUCUCGUGGCUGAUGUUUGGGCGGAGGUGGACACUCCCACACGGGGAUGCUGUCCUGCAGACCCCAGCCACAGGUGGGCACUGACUCCAAGGCCCCUUCCACAGCUGAGCUGCCACAGUGUGGGGCUCGGCACAGGGUGCCCUCUGCCCACACGGUGCCCUUCCCACCCCUCGUCACACUGGGGAAGGACGUGGUGCUUGUUUGUCGUCAGGUGCUUCCUCUUCACACACAUCCCUUUUGUUAGGAUCAACAAGGCUCACCCAUAUCAGCUGAAGAGUCGGUGGAGAAGGAAUCCUGUUUGCUGAAAGGUGAUGGAUGAAUAGUAUCCAAUGGAGCAACAAUGAAAUUGUUGCUUCUGAAGACUGUUUCUCACCUGGGGAUUGGGGACAUGAGCCCAGACAGCUAUGCGCUGGUUCACGGUCUGCUAUUUCAUUAAGAACUGUAGGAAAUGUAAAAAUAAGGCAAAGGAAUACCAAUGAAUUGAAAGGGUUCUAGAAUAUCCUUUUUAGGAAAGCAAAGGGACAGGGAAAGUGUAGUUGGUGAAGCCUGAUCACUCAUGUUCCAAGAUGAGAGGACAAAAAUUCACUUAGAGAAAGUUGACAGAGGUAGUCAGACAUCAGCACAGUCAUCUCCACUGGUUUGGCUGAAAGGUCAGGGUGGCGCUGAGGGGACAGCAAUGAAACCCACCCGCACCGGGUGCUCCUUCGCCAUUAGAGCUUCCUGCGACUGCAGUGCUGGUGGCGUGUGCUUUCGCUGCUUGGUAACAGCACAAACCCACCCUCUCUUCUCUUCUCAGAAUUUGAGGUUAACAUCGUGGUGCUUCUUCACCCUGACCACCUCAUCACGGAGAACUUCCCGCUGAAGCUCUGCAGGAUAUAGCCCGGAGGAGGGAAGCAUAGAAAACGGGAGUGGCCAUCUGGAAAUCCAGCUGGUUAUCCAAAUCCUAAGGGGAGCUACAGCCAGCGGCAUAUACUUGUUUUUGUGAUUAUUCUGUAUCAGAAAUGAAACAGACCCUCAAAUUAACUUUCCUUCCUCAUUUCUUGAGGCUUCUGCUUCCAACAGGCACUUCUAAUCAGACCUUUUCUUUGAAAUUCAACAAGAUUUCUUAAUGCUAUUUGCCAAGACCAUUUCACAGAAAACAUUGACUGUGGCUCUUGCCUUAUCUGUUCCUUUUUAGGUACAGUAAAACAAUUGUGACAGCAGUUUGAGCUUGCUGGAGAGUGGCAUCACAGGGACAAAAGGAAACCUCUGACUUGCUAAUGGAUGUAGCCAGGGACUCCCCAUAGCAAAGGGUCUGUGGCCAGUUGACAUCCAGGAUGGCUGCAAGCACACUCGAUGGUCAGGAAGUUUGCAGAUACUCGCCAAGGCAGAGCGCAAAGUGCUAGCCACUGGAAAUGCAUGACUUCCCUCCACCCCUACUCUAUUCUGUAGUUUUUUGGUUUUGUUUCUGAGACGGAGUCUCAGUCUGUCAGCCAGGCUGGAGUGAUCUCAGCUCACUGCAACCUCCACCUCCCAGGUUCAAGCGACUCUCCUGCCUCAGCCUCCCGAGUAGUUGGGAUUACAGGUGACUGCCAUCGCGCCUGGCUAAUUUUUGUAUUUUUAGUAGAGACGGGGUUUCACCAUCUUGGCCAGGCUGGUCUUGAACUCUUGACCUCGUGAUCCACCCGCCUUGGCCUCCCAAAGUGCUGGGAUUACAAGUGUGAGCCACCAUACCCAGCCUCUGUAGUUCUUUUUACAACAUUUUUCAUUAUAACUUUAAAUUUUUUAAGCAACUGGAAAAGUGUUCCUUGCUCUCAUGGGGGGAUUUGGCUGGUGCUGAAGUGUUUCUGAAGUCUCAAGAACUGCCAUAAAAUCUCACGCUGCCAUUUCCCUGAACAGAUACAUACAUAGAGAGAGACAGUUUUCCAAACUGUGUCACGCAGGCUGAGCGCACUGGCAGGAUCACAGCUCACGGCAGCCUCAACCUCCCUGGCUCAAGCGAUCCCUCCCCUUAGCCUCCUGAGUAGCUGAGACUACAGGUGAGUGCCACCACACUCAGCUAAUUUUUAAAUUUUUUGUAGACAGGGUCUCCCUAUGUUGCCCAGGCUGGUCUUGAACUCCUAGACUCAAGUGAUCUUCCUGUCUUGGCCUCCCAAAGUGCUGAGAUUACAGGUGUGAGCCACUGUGCCCAGCAGUUUCCCAGAAUAUAUUUAAAUGCAAAGUUACAUGAGGGGAAAACAUGUAUGUUUGCUCCUGUUGUUACUGGGUAGGUUCUGAACAGCAGAAACCCAUGUGCAGGGUGGGCUGGUGAAGGCCCCUCUCCGCAAGGUGGUAGCAGGAAAAGGUCCUUGACUUGAUGAAUUUGGUCUGCCUCUGAGCCACUGGAGGAAGCUGUUUUGAGCCAGGGAUUUUUGGCCUAAAGCCAGCAUUUCCUCAGUCUCCCUUUGUGGUUCGAAGGAUAUGGACUAUUGCAAUACAUUUCUUCCUUCAAAUCCUGCCACUGUUUUGUUGGCCCACAACUAAUAGGACCUCAAAAUAAGCCAUGCUGCUUUGCACACACACUAGCCUUCUUUUGUACUUUUCAUUCUGGAUGGGCUUGGCCAAAACAGGCUCAGGCCAAAGACCUCCCAAGCUGUAUGUACUUCCAGUAUCCUGAAACAGUGUUUGGUGACGUAAUGCCAAGGGUAAACAAGCCUGAUUUAGGCACUGCUUUAUCCAGGGGCUUCACCCAUGAAAUUAAUAAAACUUAUCUGAGUCACUUGAAACUUGGUUCCCAGAAAAUACAUUUCUGGUUUAUAAUCUCCUUUUAUGCUCACCUGACAUUAAUUAUCUAUCCUUGAUGAUGUGUUUAAACUGAGUAGCAGAAAACAGAGGCCACACUUUCUGGGAAAUUUUAAAGGAAGAAACCAUUUUUAAUGAGAUGAAAAUAUUUAACGAAUUUAAAAAGCUAAUGACAAUUUUGAGAAAAGGUUUGGGAUGUAUAUUGCUAUGUAAUUUAAUAAACUGAUUUUAUGGAUAUAAAUA
rnacentral:sRNA from 1 species